GAUGAACGCUGGCGGCGUGCCUAAUACAUGCAAGUCGAGCGAACAGACGAGGCGCUUGCUCCUCUGACGUUAGCGGCGGACGGGUGAGUAACACGUGGAUAACCUCCCUAUAAGACUGGGAUAACUUCGGGAAACCGGCGCUAAUACCGGAUAAUAUAUUGAACCGCAUGGUUCAAUAGUGAAAGUCGGUUUUUCUGUCACUUAUAGCUGGAUCUCCGCCGCAUUAGCUAGUUGGUAAGGUCACGGGUUACCAAGGCAACGAUGCGUAGCCGACCUGAGAGAGGGGUCGGCCACAUGGGAGCGUAAACACGGUCAUGACGACUACGAUAGGCAGCAGUAGGGAAUCUUCCGCAAUAGGCGAAAGCUUUGCGGAGCAAGGCCGCGUGAGUGAUGAAGGUGUUGGGUGCGUAAAGCUCUGUUAUGAGUGAAGAACAAAUGUGUAAUUAACUAUGCACGUCGUGACGGUACCUGAUCAGAAAGCAACGGCUAACUACGUG
rnacentral:rRNA from 1 species